GACGAACCGUGCGAACGUUGUUCGGAAUUACUGGGCGUAAAGCGUGCGUAGGCGGUUUGUUAAGUCCGUUGUGAAAGCCCUGGGCUCAACCUGGGAAUUGCAGUGGAUACUGGCGAGCUAGAGUGCGGUAGAGGAUGGUGGAAUUCCCGGUGUAGCGGUGAAAUGCGUAGAGAUCGGGAGGAACACCCGUGGCGAAGGCGGCCAUCUGGACCAGCACUGACGCUGAGGCACGAAAGCGUGGGGAGCAAACAGG
rnacentral:rRNA from 1 species